rnacentral:rRNA from 1 species
CCUACGGGUGGCUGCAGUGGGGAAUAUUGGACAAUGGGCGAAAGCCUGAUCCAGCCAUGCCGCGUGUGUGAAGAAGGCCUUCGGGUUGUAAAGCACUUUCAGUGGGGAAGAAAGCCUUGGGGCUAAUACCCUCGAGGAAGGACAUCACCCACAGAAGAAGCACUGGCUAACUCCGUGCCAGCAGCCGCGGUAAUACGGAGGGUGCGGGCGUUAAUCGGAAUUACUGGGCGUAAAGCGCGCGUAGGCGGUCUGAUAAGCCGGUUGUGAAAGCCCCGGGCUCAACCUGGGAACGGCAUCCGGAACUGUCAGGCUAGAGUGCAGGAGAGGAAGGUAGAAUUCCCGGUGUAGCGGUGAAAUGCGUAGAGAUCGGGAGGAAUACCAGUGGCGAAGGCGGCCUUCUGGACUGACACUGACGCUGAGGUGCGAAAGCGUGGGUAGCAAACAGGAUUAGAUACCCGGGUAGUC